CCUACGGGAGGCAGCAGUGGGGAAUAUUGGGCAAUGGGCGCAAGCCUGACCCAGCAACGCCGCGUGCAGGAAGAAGGCUUUCGGGUUGUAAACUUCUUUUAUCAGGGACGAAGCAAGUGACGGUACCUGAUGACUAAGCCACGGCUAACUACGUGCCAGCAGCCGCGGUAAUACGUAGGUGGCAAGCGUUAUCCGGAUUUACUGGGUGUAAAGGGCGUGUAGGCGGGAGUGUAAGUCAGAUGUGAAAACUAUGGGCUCAACUCAUGGCCUGCAUGUGAAACUGUACUUCUUGAGUGCUGGUGAGGCAAGCGGAAUGUCGUGUGUAGCGGUGAAAUGCGUAGAGAUACGGAGGAACACCAGUGGCGAAGGCGGAUUGCUGGACAGUAACUGACGUUGAGGCGCGAAAGCGUGGGGAGCAAACAGGAUUAGAUACCCUUGUAGUC
rnacentral:rRNA from 1 species